UGUGGUUUGUUAUGGCGAGUUUUAGCUACCGUUUGGUUCGGGGUUAAGGAAAAACUAGUUAUUCUAGAGAUAGGAUUAAGUUCGGGGUUAAGGUGGGAUUAGAGUAUUUUUGUGUUUGGUUGGGGGUUAGAGUUAGUUUAGGAUAGUGAAAAAUAAUGUUUGGUUGGAGUAGGUGGGAUAAGAAGUAUAAUGGGUUAUUAUGAAUAGAAAAUAGUGUUUGGUUGGAGUUUGAUAGGGUUAGGUGGAGUUAGCUAAACCGGAAUAACCCAUUUGAGAUCGGGUUAGCUAACCCUAUCUAUUUUUUAAAAUAUAUGAAGAUAAUAUGAGGGUUAAGAGGUUAUUUCACCCCUUAAC
rnacentral:lncRNA from 1 species